rnacentral:rRNA from 1 species
UACGUAGGGGGCGAGCGUUAUCCGGAUUUAUUGGGCGUAAAGCGUGUGUAGGCGGUUUGUUAAGUCUGAAAUUAAAUCCCGAGGCUCAACCUCGGCCCGUUUCAGAAACUGGCAGACUAGAGUGUAGUAGAGGCAAGUGGAAUUUCUAGUGUAGCGGUUAAAUGCGUAGAUAUUAGAAGGAACACCAGUGGCGAAGGCGGCUUGCUGGGCUAUUACUGACGCUGAGACACGAAAGCGUGGGGAGCAAAUA